GGGUCUUGCUUAGGCCCAGAGGCGCAAUGAAAGUGAAGGUCGGCCUCGACGUCGACUGUGUUGGGACUCUCCGUCCGCUCCCGGGCGGGGAAGCACCAACGACCCGUCCUAUCCGAUUCAUCGGUUGGGCGGAGUCUGAGCGUACACGUUGGGACCCGAAAGAUGGUGAACUAUGCCUGGGCAGGACGAAGCCAGAGGAAACUCUGGUGGAGGUCCGUAGCGGUUCUGACGUGCAAAUCGAUCGUCAGACCCGGGUAUAGGGG
rnacentral:rRNA from 1 species